GUGGGGAAUUUUGGACAAUGGGCGCAAGCCUGAUCCAGCUAUUCCGCGUGUGGGAUGAAGGCCCUCGGGUUGUAAACCACUUUUGUAGAGAACGAAAAGACACCAUCGAAUAAAUGGUGUUGCUGACGGUACUCUAAGAAUAAGCACCGGCUAACUACGUGCCAGCAGCCGCGGUAAUACGUAGGGUGCGAGCGUUAAUCGGAAUUACUGGGCGUAAAGGGUGCGCAGGCGGUUGAGUAAGACAGAUGUGAAAUCCCCGAGCUUAACUCGGGAAUGGCAUAUGUGACUGCUCGACUAGAGUGUGUCAGAGGGAGGUGGAAUUCCACGUGUAGCAGUGAAAUGCGUAGAUAUGUGGAAGAACACCGAUGGCGAAGGCAGCCUCCUGGGACAUAACUGACGCUCAGGCACGAAAGCGUGGGGAGCAAACAGG
rnacentral:rRNA from 1 species